UACGUAGGGUGCGAGCGUUGUCCGGAUUUAUUGGGCGUAAAGAGCGUGUAGGCGGCCAGGUAGGUCAGCUGUGAAAACUCGAGGCUCAACCUCGAGACGCCGGUUGAAACCAUCUGGCUAGAGUCCGGAAGAGGAGAGUGGAAUUCCUGGUGUAGCGGUGAAAUGCGCAGAUAUCUGGAGGAAUACCGGUGGCGAAGGCGGCAUCCUGGACCGGCAUUGACGCUGAGGAGCGAAAGCCAGGGGAG
rnacentral:rRNA from 1 species